UUAAAGUUAAAUUUUUAUAAUUUUAUUAAGCUAGCUAAUUAAUUAAGUUAAUUAUGUAAAGACUCCACCUUAAUAAAUUAUAGUAAUUGUCCUAAAAUGGCUGUUUUUCUUUUCUUUCUCCUGUCUCUGUUUGCCUGUGUCAAAAGUGACUGAGUGAGUAACUGCCAGUUGAGACAGCUACCCUAAACUUCUAUAAUCUUUGGUCAUAAGUGACUUAAGGCAGAAACUCAAUAUAGGCUAUAGCCUACCCUAGCCUUAUGCUAGCUACGCCCUUG